GCAUCAGGUAAAAGUUAUAUCCACCCGUCGCAUACUCCAACCCGCAGCAUCAACCAGACAUUCAUAUCACAUCAAUCUUAAUCUUGUUUCUUCCUGCUUCUCGCACAGAACAUCCGUCAUGCCAUCGACCGUACCCAAGCCCAAAGGGCACAGGAAGGUAUUACAUGCUAACCUGCAGCGCCUGUGGCGCUGAAGGAGAGUAUUAUUCAUCAUUGGCCGCGAUGAAUUCUCACAGCCUGUGGUGCGCUGCGGCACGAAAGAAAGCGGAGGCCAAUACCAAGAAGGCAGCGGCCGCCGCCCACCGGAAGCCCCACCGAGAAAAGAAGGCCAAAAAAAAUGGUGGAACUUGGAAGUCAGGAAAUCCAAAAUAUGGCAAGUGAAGUCUUCAGCUGAGAUUUUUGGUGGGGUCAAAAGACUCUUGUUAGCUGAAGUUUUCAGUUCUCAUAUUUUGUCUGCAAUUCAGUGUGAUGUCCAAAAAACCUGUCUGUUACAUGGUGUCUUCUGGCCCAUGUCUAUGCUUGUAUCGCCUUGUUAAAGACGAUGUCUCCUUCGCUUUGAUUCUGGUAUAGUGCUUUGGGCUAUGUUGGGUGGGGUCAUUCUCUCACCUCUACUAAGCAUGCUCGAUUAGGAAGGUUUGUCCUGCCUCUUCCCUGACAUUUAUGAGUUACUGAUAGAAGUUGAAUGCAUAACUGCAUAUAAAUUUGUGUGAUCCAGGAACAAAUUGGUAAAUAUGUGCCCAGGUUUGUGCAUGUGUGCCAACCAGGUACAGCUCCUGCAGCUGUGGUAAGAAACUGUAGAAGGUUCAGGUAGUGGAGAAGCAUUCCACUUAAAUCAAAGUACUUCAAGUUUGAACAAAGACACAAUAUCUGUGGAUGAUAUCUUCAAGAAAAGUGUGUUUUAUGAUUUUGCGUUAAGAAAUGUUCGAGAGGAUGGGAUAUUGCCAUAUAUUUGUAUGUAACAGUGAAGUACGCCCUCUCAAAUUUGAUAUUGCUUUCA